UUGACAGCUGUAAGGGAAUAAAAUCCUCUACCCACAGAACAAGUACAGCAAGGGCGGGGUGGGACAAGCUUCCCCACACUGCCCAGCUAGUGUGUCUUAACCUUGGCAGGGAGGGACCAACUCUCUGCAUGAAAGAGUAGUCCAGUCUCCAUACCCUUUGUAUCCUAAAUCUCU
rnacentral:sRNA from 1 species